UACGGGGGGGGCAAGCGUUGUUCGGAAUUACUGGGCGUAAAGGGCUCGUAGGUGGCCAACUAAGUCAGACGUGAAAUCCCCAGGCUCAACCUGGGAACUGCGUCCGAUACUGGAUGGCUUGAAUUCGGGAGAGGGAUGCAGAAUUCCAGGUGUAGCGGUGAAAUGCGUAGAGAUCGGGAGGAACACCCGUGGCGAAGGCGGCCAUCUGGACCAGCACUGACGCUGAGGCACGAAAGCGUGGGGAGCAAACAGG
rnacentral:rRNA from 1 species